GUAAUAGCUCACUGGUCGAGUCGGCCUGCGCGGAAGAUGUAACGGGGCUAAACCAUGCACCGAAGCUGCGGCAGCGACGCUGAUGCGUUGUUGGGUAGGGGAGCGUUCUGUAAGCCUGUGAAGGUGUACUGUGAGGUAUGCUGGAGGUAUCAGAAGUGCGAAUGCUGACAUAAGUAACGAUAAAGCGGGUGAAAAGCCCGCUCGCCGGAAGACCAAGGGUUCCUGUCCAACGUUAAUCGGGGCAGGGUGAGUCGACCCCUAAGGCGAGGCCGAAAGGCGUAGUCGAUGGGAAACAGGUUAAUAUUCCUGUACUUGGUGUUACUGCGAAGGGGGGACGGAGAAGGCUAUGUUGGCCGGGCGACGGUUGUCCCGGUUUAAGCGUGUAGGCUGGUUUUCCAGGCAAAUCCGGAAAAUCAAGGCUGAGGCGUGAUGACGAGGCACUACGGUGCUGAAGCAACAAAUGCCCUGCUUCCAGGAAAAGCCUCUAAGCAUCAGGUAACAUCAAAUCGUACCCCAAACCGACACAGGUGGUCAGGUAGAGAAUACCAAGGCGCUUGAGAGAACUCGGGUGAAGGAACUAGGCAAAAUGGUGCCGUAACUUCGGGAGAAGGCACGCUGAUAUGUAGGUGAAGUUGCUCGCGGAUGGAGCUGAAAUCAGUCGAAGAUACCAGCUGGCUGCAACUGUUUAUUAAAAACACAGCACUGUGCAAACACGAAAGUGGACGUAUACGGUGUGACGCCUGCCCGGUGCCGGAAGGUUAAUUGAUGGGGU
rnacentral:rRNA from 1 species